rnacentral:lncRNA from 10 species
GGCGUGAGCCACUGCACCUGGCCUAUAAACAAGCUUUUAUACAUUUCAGGUAGUAUUUGCUUGUCACUUGGUGCAGACAUUUUUCUCAAUCUGUUGUCUUUUUAAAAUUCUGUCCAGUUUUUGUAUUUUUGAACGUUAGUCUUCCUUUGUUGUUUCUUCUGUUGUUUCAAAGUUUUGAGAACGCUGACGUUUAUCCAUAAAUAUAACUGCCUUAUCCUAUUAAAUAUAUAGUUUCUAUGGCUGUUCUUUAAAAUAUUUAGCACUUUAAUCCACUUGGUGUUUAUUUUGAAAUACGAUGUGAAACACAUUUUUGUCCUCCAAAUUUUCAUUCAUUUAUCUGCGCAUUCUUUACAUAGUUCAUCUUUUCUUACUGCCGUGUUUGGGAAUGUUAUUUUACUAUGUAUCCCAUCAGGAUUAAUGCGUGUGUUUGUUCAGUCUCAUUCCUUUCCGUUGAUCUCAGCUUCUAUUUUUGUUUCUGCUCUUAGUCACUGCCCAGCAGCGCCAAAGGAACAUCCCGCCCCCUGCAGGCAGCUGGUGUCCCCACAACCUGGGAAGCCUGGGGCAGGGCCUCAGGGGACUCCUGGUGUUAGUCCUCCGAGCCCGGGUGGACGUGUCGCUCUGUCCCUGCGGGAGGAUUCGGGGCCCCUUUGACAGGCCUCCUUCUAUGCCGGUUUCCUGGGGCCUCGAGCUUCCUGGGUUCCACGUCUCUAGUAACCAGUAGAGACGGGCCUUUACCCUGCCGUUGGGUGGGGACUGUCCCCUUCUGGGCUCUUCCUUUCGGGCCUUUCCACCUCUCCGACCCCAGGGCAUUCGCCCCACCACGUUGCCGGCACAGUGCUGGCUCCGCGGCCCGCGGUUCUGGCAGUCAGCGCGGAAUGCCAUGGCACCGAGCCUCUGUGUCUAGAUGAGUUCUGGGCGCUGAUUUUCCAGGUCACUCGGAAGCUGCUCUCUGGGCCCGCCUGUUUCCCUUCCCUUUGCCUCCUUGUCCCGCUUCCCUCGCAGUAUACCACUCACUGUACCCCUCCUAAAAAGGACCACUGCAGGAAGCGUUAUUGAAGCAGACACGGUUCAAACACGAAAAACAAACUCUUCUUUAUUCAACAGAUGUGCACGAAUCUAUUGUGUGUUAGAUACGGACCCGGGGCCCCACGCGCCGCUCCUGGGCAGGGCCGUGCACCCGGAAGGCGCCGAGGCGCGCCCAGCAGAGGGAGCAUGCGGGCAGGGCAUUCCGCGGGUACCCGCGGAGCAGGACGGCCACCCACGCCGGGGCCCCUGGGGCUCCACCCAGGACGCACACCCGGAGAGACCCAAUGACUGCGUUUCGCACCUGGGCGCAAGCUGGUUACUGGGCACGCGCUGACAACCCACAUCUGGAAAACCCGGUCCUAACUGGAGAAUAAAACUUAAAUGCACGUGAACUCACCGGCAGCUGAACAUUUCCGUGAGAAAACCCCUAAAAGCCGGCACCGGCUCCGGUGGGGCCACAGAGUCUCUGGAGCGAGGCUCUCUCCAAUGCCUGGGCCCUGGGACCGAGCAACUGUCCCAGUAGAAUCCCUUUCGGGCUUUGUUGCAGGGAUAGGGGAUUCUUUUUAACGUGUUCCUUGGCUUGCACAGGCAUUUACUGGUCCUCUGGAGAUCACAUAUAACAGGAAGUCUCUAAAUUCAGUAUUUCUUUUAAAUGAAGUUGUAUUUAUUCAUCACAUUUCUAUCAGUAGACUUGAAAAACAGCGUACACGUUUUAUACAUUGUAUGUAGGACAUUGUAUUUAUUCAGGUCCAUCAGAGAGUCUUAAUCUGGGGUAUGGGGACAACUAGGAGUGGAUAGGAUUCAGGGAGCCCAUGAAACUCCUGAGAUUGUUUCAUAUUUUAGGGCAAAUGUGCAAUUUUUCUGGGAAGAAGUUCUGUCGUUUUUAUGAUUACCAGGGUUCAUAACCUUAGUUUGGUUAAGAAAUGCUGGUCUAAGGUCAAUGCUCAGCAGGUUUAUGGAUUCAGAACUCAUUGCACUAGCACUGAAGCCCCCUUGAGGGCCCGAAGCCCCCAUUCUGGACCCCUGCAGGAGAAUUUGGUUCUCCAGUGAAGGUCACUAGAGCCUGGACUUGAUUUUCUCUCCCUACAGGAAGGCCCCCCAAAACUCCAAGGGGCACAGUUGUUUUCGUUUUAAGGCCAUAUUAGGUUCAAGUAGAUUUACUUCUGCAUUUCUCUGUCUUAAAUAGAAAUAACUCUCUGGUGGGUAUUUUCCCCUGGGUUAGUCAUGCAAAUACUCUAUGCUUCACUUACUACCCAUUUCAACCUCUGGGACAGCCCUUCUGCACAGACCUGGCCCAGGACCCUUCUGCCAACCACACAUGGGAGUCUCUGGGGAACUUGGGUGCUGACUUCACUGGGCUGGGAUUUUCCUCAACCAGUGUGCCCAGGGAGUUAAAACGUGUUCCUUUUAUGGAAAAAAAGAGUAUAAGUUUUUUGUUUGUUUGUUUGUUUGUUUUUACUUGUGAGGAAUAAAAGAUUACAAAACUACCCAUAAUCCCCUUAAUAGGCCUAACACAAUAACCAAUUUUGUUUUAAAUCUCAGCUUUCCUAUGUGUAUGUAUUUUGCAUUGUUGUGAUUAUAG